rnacentral:tRNA from 1 species
UAUAUUUUAGUAUAUGAUGUACGAUGGUUUUUGAUACCAUUAGGGAUAGUUUGAUUCUAUUAAAUAUAG